UGACAGCAGAGGCCGUGGCAUCAGCAGUGAUCCAGCCUGCAAGGUCUGGCCAUGAAGGGACUGCUCUUCACGGUCUCGGUGCUGUUCCUACUUCUGCAUUUUCAGCAGGUUGUGUCGAGCCCUAUGAGGGACAAAGAGGCCUCUGAACCUGAGGCUGAGAUGGAUACUUUGAUUGGGGCUGGUUCUCGGGGGCAACCCCUACUUCGUCGGGUGGCUCGGAUGACUCCAUUCUGGAGAUCACUGGGCUACAAACCUUCCCAGGCCCAUUGCUUACGGGACCUGGAGUGCAUCAGCAAAUACUGCAGGAAUGGCUUCUGCUCAAAGCCUCAGUUGGAAUCCUGAAGCCAUGGAUGCUGAGGCUAGAGAAGCGCCAGAGGCCCCCUGAGCCCUCCUACCCCGCCUCACCCCCACUUCAUUUGGGGACUUUCAACAUCUCCUUGCUUUGCUUCACUGUAUGAGACAUGCCUUUUCCCAAGCUUUCAGAAGAGGGGGGCAGUCACGCCCAUUAACUUUGCCCCUGUGCACCCCAGUCUGAACCCUGCUGCUGGAGAAAGCCCUCAGGCCUCCUUCCACGUAGGGCUCUGUCCUGAAAUAGACAGCUUCCAGCUGUUGGGAAUACAAAGCCAUAACUAGACUGUGGCACCGGGGCCUUUGUCCUAGGACACCCAAAUUGAGAGGCUGAUGAUAGCUCUUACUCUGCUUUGAUAGCAUAGAAACAAUUGUACAAGAAUAAUUAGUUAAAAAUCAGAAGCUACCAGUUGACAUAACACCUCCCCUCACUAGCUGCACCCGAGACAAUUCUUUCCCCCCACCAACUGCCCCCAUCAUGAUCUCCUCAGAAGCAGUUGCAGGGAAUCCCAAGGCCUCAGUGCAGGAGUCUUUGUCUCUCUAUUUUGGGGUAGUACCCCCCAGGGGGCUUUGUGCCCCAGCAUAUUUCCCUCCCACAAAUGAAUUUCUCUCAAAAGGUUGAUUAGAGGUACUAUUCCAUGUUGCUUGCCUCUGGCACCAAAAUCGCUCACUAGUUAUAGCCCUAUUAGGGAGGAGCCCAGGAGCCUGGGGAGGGAUUUGAUGCUCUAGAGAGUUCCAGAUAAUUCAGUAUGGGAGAGGGUAGGGGGGACCCUGGUACAUACCUACUGAUGACUGGUCAGUGAAAGAGGAGGGAGGAAUCUGGGAAGAGAGUAUCUGCCUGGUACUAAGAAGAAUAUCUGAGGUUUGCAGACCUCAUCAGCGCAUAAAUUGUCCCCUGUCACCAUGGCAGAGCCCAGCCCUCCCUCCGUGGCCCCUAUUCCCAGGCCGUUCUCUGCCCAUCUAGAAUUUCUUACCCUCUUCAGGGUGGCCCCAGAAGUAUACUGUAAAAGGUCGUCUCUUUGGGGGGAGGCAUGUGAUUCUCCCAGACUGCAUUGUUUUAGUGAUUUCCCUGGACCCCAGCCCCUUAGGGGUGAUCUGAAAGGCCAUAUGUCCAGAUCACACCUACCACUACUGAAACUUUCCCAUGCCACAAGAGAAAAAGUCAAAGUGACUAUGAGUCUGCAAGCAGUUUAAAUUGGAUGUAGGCAAAGAUGCACCUGCUUCCUUCGUUCUUCACAAACUCAUCUUCUGUGAAUUAGCCAGCCCUUGGAGACCUACGACCUUAAACGAGACUGUGUGCUUCUCUGUGAGAUGCUCAGGUGGGAGGAUGAAUAAAGGCUGCCAUGCACUUUACA
ensembl:lncRNA